rnacentral:rRNA from 1 species
GAGACACGGACCACGACGUACCUACGGGAGGCAGCAGUGAGGAAUAUUGGUCAAUGGGCGCAAGCCUGAACCAGCCAUCGCCGCGUGCAGGAUGACGGCGCUAUGCGUUGUAAACUGCUUUUGUACAGGAAGAAACCCAUUUACGUGUAAGUGGUUGACGGUACUGUCAGAAUAAGCAUCGGCUAACUCCGUGCCAGCAGCCGCGGUAAUACGGAGGAUGCAAGCGUUAUCCGGAUUCAUUGGGUUUAAAGGGUGCGUAGGCGGAAUACUAAGUCAGUAGUGAAAUCCUGCAGCUUAACUGUAGAACUGUUAUUGAUACUGGUAUUCUUGAAUGCAGUUGAGGUAGGCGGAAUGUGUAAUGUAGCGGUGAAAUGCUUAGAUAUUACACAGAACACCGAUUGCGAAGGCAGCUUACUAAACUGUGAUUGACGCUGAGGCACGAAAGCGUGGG